AGAAAUGUCAACUCAGCACAACAACACAUACCCUAGUGACAGAGCCAAAGACAGAGCAAAAGACAUAAAUAAGAUCUCUAUAAAGGGUCCAGGUGUCGAUCUUGAAAUCGAUGUAUCCAGCAGGAGAAAGAUCAUUUUCAUGGUGAACAACUAUGAAGUGCAAAUAAAUGUACUGCCAAAAACCAAAG